rnacentral:rRNA from 1 species
CGGGAAUCUUCGGAUUCUAGUGGCGGACGGGUGAGUAACGCGUAAGAAUCUAACUUCAGGACGGGGACAACAGUUGGAAACGACUGCUAAUACCCGAUGUGCCGCAAGGUGAAAACUAAUUGGCCUGAAGAAGAGCUUGCGUCUGAUUAGCUAGUUGGUGGGGUAAGAGCCUACCAAGGCGACGAUCAGUAGCUGGUCUGAGAGGAUGAGCAGCCACACUGGGACUGAGACACGGCCCAGACUCCUACGGGAGGCAGCAGUGGGGAAUUUUCCGCAAUGGGCGAAAGCCUGACGGAGCAACGCCGCGUGAGGGAGGAAGGUCUUUGGAUUGUAAACCUCUUUUCUCAAGGAAGAAGUUCUGACGGUACUUGAGGAAUCAGCCUCGGCUAACUCCGUGCCAGCAGCCGCGGUAAUACGGGGGAGGCAAGCGUUAUCCGGAAUUAUUGGGCGUAAAGCGUCCGCAGGUGGUCAGCCAAGUCUGCCGUCAAAUCAGGUUGCUUAACGACCUAAAGGCGGUGGAAACU